ACCAAAACUUGAAACCCAGCACUUCCUCCUCUUAUUAGUUUGGGAUUUGGGAACAUCUAUCUCCUGCUACAGCCAUUUCUCCGUCGACUAAUUUGUUGUGCUGAUUAUCAGGCGGCCUGGGAAAUCUUCACACCUCUUCUGCAUAGAAUUGACAACGGUGAGCUAAAACUGCUUCCAGAGCAUCACGAUCGCUGCCUCCCUCGCCGCCGUGACGACUUCAUCUCCAAUGUGUUUCCUCCCUCCUCUGCUCUCGAUGUGUUCAUCAUAGAUUCGUAGGCAACAACUUUACCAAGCCUCAGUUUGGAACCACUGCUUGCCAAGAAAGUUCAAGGCAAAACCUGAAAAAACCCAAGAUUUUACAAGAAAAAAGAUGAGUGGAUGUGGAAAUGGAAUACUAGAAGCUCAAAUGGACAUAAAAAAUUUACAGGAAAAGCCACUUUCUAUUGCGCCAAGUAUGGGAGAGGAACCAGUAGACGGAAAAUGGAAGCACAAGUAUGAUUGAAGUAGAGGAGCUUCUGCCAUAUUCACAUGGAUAUACUGAAUUAAACUUUUGCUGAAAGAUCAGGCAAAAAUGAUGACCCACAUCAAUCCCAUAUUCAACUUCUGACCUUGAUAGUAACACAGCAUAGAAAGAGCAAACAAAGGCAAAGAUCAUUUUGCCUUACUGGGGAAAGUUAUGGAAGUAAGGGAGAAGUCGGUCAAUACAACAGAGAAGUCAGCAGAAGAGUGAAAAUCGCAAACCUAGAAGCAGAUAGGGGAACAAUUGGAAAGAGGAUAUAUAUGGAUUCACUCGAAAAUUCCAUUUAAGAGCAUGCGAAGCAUGCUAAGGCAUUGCAAAAGCUGUUAGAAUAGACGAAGAAGCAUUUGGAUUCGAUUUCCAAAGAGAAGAAGCUUAAACAUAAUGCCAGACAAAUUGGAUUGCAGCUAAUGGAGAAUGACACUUCUACUAUUAAUGAUAGAUGCUUGCAGCUGAUAAUGAGUCAGCAAUUCAUCAAGAAAGAUAUGGCCUUACGACAAAGAAAAAAGAAGGUACAUCUUCUUUUAGGUGGACAAAAAAGUGAGGAGGAUCCAGCUGUUUCUCAAACCUCUAACUAAUUUGUCAAAUAAGAGCAACAAAGACAAAAGCAAAGAGCUGGUAAUGCUGCAACGGUUUCAUCUACUUCUAUUAGUAUUCCAGAAGCUGGUCCAUCAUGCUCAAGAACACGUAGAAUGCGUGAACACACUCAAAAAAAUCUUUCAACUGCAUCGAGCGUUGGUCAAGCUUCAUAUCAAAGAAAUAGAAGUCGUAAUGGUUAUUUAUUGUUUUAAAUGAACUCAUAGAAGUUAUGCAGAUUUUGGAGACAAGAUUUUCGAAUGUCGUCACUGCAAUGCUUAUUUUGGUUGAAUGAGUCUAUAAAAGCGAGAUAUAAAAAUCAACCUCCAACGUUUACAUUAUGUUGUCAGCAAUGCGUCCAACACCGAAUAUUCUUGAUGAAUUAUUUGAUCCAAAAAAAGGCAUAGAAGGUUGCAGGUGAAAAUGCCAAGUUGUAUGCUACAAUUACAGAUGGUAUUGUCAAUUUACUUGACAACGGAGGCCUUGGUUUUCUAUGUGCAAAAUGAUGGACAGCUGCUACAACAUUUCUAUUCCUUUACUUUAGCAUUCCCUGCUUCCCAGUGGGAAGUUCCCACAAUACUUGAUGUUGUCAAACAAUGUAAACCAAACAAUUUAGAGAGAUGAAACUCUCUCAUUUUAUCAUUCUGUCAUUAUUGUAAAUUAUUAGCAACAACAAAUCCCGCGGCAAAGCGUGGGCACUAUUACUAGUGCUUAAUUAAACUUUGGUUUCAAUUAAGCAUGUCUGCUGCCAUCACGUGCCAGACCAUAUCUUCCUUCCUUCUUGUCCACUCCCAUGACGCCACGUGGCAGUCCUAUCUCCCUUCUCACUCUGAAUGAUCUACAGCUACACACCUUAAUGAAUCUGAUGAUCAAUAUAUAUUCUCGGGGGGCCCACACAGACGAGGGGGGAGAGGUAGAGACGAACCUAGCUAGCAUAACAGCGCCGCAGACUUUAAUUUCAGAUCUGAUCACUCUCUCCUCUGCGCAAGAGCCGACCUCCUCCUCUUCUCUAUCUCUAUAACCACAACCCAUUUUCUAUCACUAGUUCAUCACCAUUCUUCAAUUAAAUUCUAACAUUUAGGCAAGGAUCCGGGUUGAGGUACAAGAGAGAGUAUAAUUUCAAGCUAGUCAUGCUCACUCUCUAGUGUAGUUGUGAUUAGUUUUGGUCUCUUCCUCUUUUCUAACUUUCUUCUUGCUUUAAUUUUUUGUAAUUGAUGAAUUUCUUUGUGGGUAUGUUGAUGGAUUGUGAGUAGUUUCUUAUUUGGGUCUAGGGCUUGAUGCCCUAGCAAUUUUUACCAUGUAAUGACAUUAAUUUUUGGUGCUUACUGAAAGUGUGAUGUGGUUUUUGUUCA